AUACUUACCUGGACGGGGUGAAUGGGUGAUCAUUGAGGCCUAUGUCCUAAGUUGGUGACCUCCAUUGCACUUUGGAGGCUUGCCCACUUAAGGUCUGCCCGCGUGGCAGAGCCUACGUCGUUAUUUGUUCCUGUGGGGGGCCUGCGUUCGCGCGGCCCCUCU
rfam:Cucumis sativus cultivar 9930 chromosome 1, whole genome shotgun sequence.